CGGGGUGUAGCGCAGCCCGGUAGCGCGCUACGUUCGGGACGUAGAGGCCGUAGGUUCGAAUCCUGCCACCCCGACUA
rnacentral:tRNA from 5 species